rnacentral:lncRNA from 1 species
GGGCCACGUAAAGGGGGAUAGCUUAUGCACGGCUUGAAGGAGGAGGAAGGAAAGAGAAGAAGAUCAAUCAGAGAGGAAGAAAAAGAGAGGAGGAAGCAGGGAGGAGGAUGAAGAGGAGAAGGAGAAAGGAGAGAUGGUAGAGGAAUGGGUGGAGGUGGAAGGAGCUCCCAUAGAGAAAAAAUGGAUGAAAAAGAAGGUGAGGAGGAAGG